UUGAACAUCAUCAAAUUAUGCAGAAGCAAUGGAUGGCUACGCCACAUGGCAGUCUUGAGUAUCGGGUGGGAAUCCUAUAUUUUUUACGUUAUGCAUUUGGUGAUGCGGCUCCAGAUGUCACGAGACCAUGUCUUUGUUGCAAAUGCAUAAAUUCAUUGAGUCAUGAUCGCGAGACAGUACACGAACAUCUGAUGAUAAAUGGUAUUUUACAAGAUUACCGCAUCUGGAAUUUUCAUGGAGAAAAACUAAUUGUACAAGAUCAUGAUAACAAAGAACUUCAUUAUUCAGUGCAACAAGUUUCUAAAGUAACUAGCCAUGAACCGAUGGUACAAGAAAUGCUGCAUGAUGCAUUUGGAAUUCAUUAAGGAUCUACAAGUAAUGAAAAUUACAUUGGAGCAUCAACGAGUCAUACACCGAUGGAGUCUAAUGUUAAAGAUUUCUAUCGACUAAUUGAGGAAGGGAAACAACAGCUAUAUACCGGAUGCACAGAGUUUUCUAAACUGUCGUUCCUUGUUGAGUUAUUUCAACUGAAAGUGAAUGAAAAAUGGAGUGAUAAGUCAUUUACAGCAUUGUUGGACUUCCUUCGUCGAGUACUUCCAUCUGAAGCUCAAGUGCCUAAGUCGUUUUAUGAAGCAAAGAAAUUAAUUUCUAGUUUAGGGCUUCAUUAUGAAAAAAUACAUGCUUGUCCAAAUGAUUGCAUGAUUUAUUGGGGGGAAAAUGAGAAUGAACAGGCUUGCAAAGUGUGUAACCUUCCAAGAUGGAAAAAUUUGCAGAAAUCAUCAAGGAGAUCGUAUAAAGGUGGAAAAAAACGUCUCGAGGUUAAAAUUCCAGCCAAAGUCUUUUGGUAUUUUCCAUUGAAACCAAGAUUGCAACGGUUAUUCAUGUCAUCUAAGACGUCUGAAAAUAUGCAGUGGCAUUUCAAAAAACGUGUUUCAGAUGGAAAUCUAAGGCAUCCAGCUGAUUCUCGAGCAUGGAAGGAAUUUGAUGAACGUCAUUAUGAAUUUGCGUCUGAUCCUAGAAACGUAUGCUUGGGACUCGCCGCUGAUGGGUUUAAUCCAUUUAAAAAUCAAAGCACUUCACAUAGUACUUGGCCUAUUGUCCUGAUGCCUUACAAUUUGCCGCCUUGGGAAUGCAUGAAGCCUUAUUCUAUUAUUUUAUCCACCCUUAUUCCAGGUCCAAAAGCACCUGGCAAUGAUAUUGAUGUAUAUUUGCACCCCCUAUUGACUGAAUUGAAAGAUUUAUGGGAAAAUGGAAUUGCCACAUUUGAUGCUUGUGACAAAAAAAUGUUUGAAAUGUGGGCUGCAUUACUUUGGACAGUUAGUGAUUUUCCUGGUUUGGGUUGUUUGUCUGGAUGGAAUACAUAUGCCAAGAAUGCAUGCCCAACUUGUGCUGAUAAUACAGAUGCAGUGUACCUAAAACAUGGCAAAAAGUGAUCAUUCAGAGGGCAUCGCUGUUUUCUACCACCAGAUUCAGAAAUGCGAACAAUGCCAAGUUAUGGCAAAUCUGAGCUACGUGAGUUAGAUUUGGCACCAUUGUCUGGAUCUGAUGUUCUACGAAUGACCUUAAACAAGAAUGUGAUUUUUGGUAAGAGUAAUGCAUCAAAACCAAAUGUGAGAAUAAAAACAGGAUCAAUUGAACAAAUGUGGAGAAAACAAAGCAUAUUUUUUAGCCUUCCAUACUGGGAAUUUAAUUUGAUCCAACAUAAUUUGGACCCUAUGCAUAUUGAAAAAAAUGUUUGUGACAAUAUUGUUGGAACACUUUUAGGUGAUUCCAACAAGAGCAAAGAUAAUUAUGCAACACGUAGAGACUUAAAGAAUUUGGGUAUUAUGAAACAAUUAUGGCCCCGGGCACAUUCAGAUGGUAGAGAGUAUUUGCCACCUGCAUGUUACUCUAUGUGUAAAGAUGAAAAAAAGAUAUUUUGUUCUGUAUUGAAAGAUAUUCGUGUUCCUGAUGGUAUGUCAUCUGAUAUCUCAAAGUGUGUGGAUGUUGGAAGUUGUAGGAUUAUGAGCUUGAAAAGCCAUGAUUGUCAUAUUAUGAUGGAACAAUUCCUUCCAAUUGCUCUUCGUCGCGUGUUGUCAAAAAAGGUAACUGCUCCACUUAUUAUGUUGUGUGAAUAUUUUAGAACAGUAUGUGCAAAGACCCUACAAGAAGAUGAAUUACAAAAGGCUGAAGAAGGAGUUAUUUUGGUUUUAUGCCAAUUAGAGAAAAUAUUUCCACCAUCUUUUUUCACAAUAAUGGUUCAUUUGGUGGUACAUUUAGCGUAUGAAGCAAGAAUGGCUGGGCCUGUACAUUAUCGAUGGAUGUACCCAAUAGAAAGAUAUCUGGGGAAACUUAAAAAUUUUGUUAGAAAUAAAGCACGACCAGAGGCCAACAUUGCAGAGGCAUAUUUAGCAGAUGAAUGUGUUGUGUUUUGUUCUCAUUAUGUAGAUGGUAACAUCUUAUUAAACAAUCCCGGAACACAACAUAAAGAGACACCAAAUGAUGAGUUUCCUACACUCUCGAUGUUUCCACAUGUAGGGCGACCAACAAAAGGGCUUCAAGUAGUUACCUUAGAUGACAAAACUCUAACUCAAGCUUAUAGAUAUAUUCUCUCUAAUUGUACAGUGUUGCAACCAUAUCGUGAGUAAGUAUUACUAUUUUUUUAAAUUUUUUGCAUAAUAUUUUACUAUUUUAUGAUCAAUAAUUGGUUCUAAUUAUAUAUUAAUGUUGAUAUUGAACAGUGAAAUAAAAAACGAACUGAAGAGAAGACAUAGAUAUGGUCAACGCCCAAGUAAUUCUCAAUUGGAUGACAUGGUUAGAAUGCAAUUUCCAGAAUGGUUUGCAAGACGAGUUGAUCGAGUAAAUGAACGAAUCGAUGACUUAGAUCUUCGGGUGCUUUCGCGUGGUCCAAAUUCAAUAGCAUUUAGUUAUCAUGGGUUCAACAUAAAUGGUUUUGCAUUUCGCACUGUGGAAUCUGAAAAAAACAAAAAGGUGCAGAAUAGUGGGGUUAUGGUGCAGGCGAUGCAUGAUAAUGAUGAUCAUGAGUCAAUCUAUUAUGGUCGACUAACUGAUGUCAUCUCACUUGAUUAUGGUGUUCGUGGACGAAUUGUUGUUUUUCGAUGCGAUUGGGUUAACACUACUACAGAUUUCAAAAUUGAUCCAUUUGGAUUUUCAAUGCUGAAUUUUUCAUGCUUGAUACAUACAGGAGAACGUGAGGAACAUGAACCUUUUAUUUUGGCUACACAAGCUCAAAUGGCUUAUUAUGUUCGUGAUCCAAAGGAGGAGGAUUGGUACUGCGCCAUUCGUCACACACCAAGAGAUACGUAUAACAUGGGCAAUGAAGAUGAUAUGGAUACGAUGCAUUUUAUUCAUAAUAAUUUUUCUAAUAUGGAAUCGAUAUUAGGCGAUGUAAAUAGAGUAGAUAUUGAAUUAAUUAGAACUGAUAUAGAGGGCUCAAUAGUUGAUGUUCUUCCAGUUGUGAACAAUGAAACAGAUGAUGAAAGCUUUAGUUGAUUUUUGUGUUUUCGUUCAUUAUGUUGAAACUAUCUUUAGAAUUCUAAAGCUCUAUCAAUGAGAAUUUUUUCUAAUGUAUUGUGAGUACAAAUCAAUAUGGCAAAAGGGAAUUGUUACUUAUCUAAACUCUCCAUGAACUUAGUUGUAAUCUCCUAGAAAUCAAGAAAUUGAGAAGUGAAGGUGUUCUGCUGAGUUUUAUUUCAGCAACCAUAGAAUUAUUUGUUGAAUCUGAUUUCUGAAAUGAAAGCUGAUUUCUAAUUUCUAUAUCUGAUUUUUAAGCAAUUGCAAUUCAGAAAUUGAGAAACCUGUUUUCAAAAUGUUGUUGUUGAGUUGUCUUUGUGCCAAUUUGGAGGAAUAUGUGCAGGUUUAUGGAAGGUAGUUUCAGAAAUCAGGAGUUCUGAAACUGGUGUAACAAAAAUCAGGAGUUAUGUGAUAAAUGCAGUUUCAGGAAUUCACAGCCACAUCAUGAUCCUUCAAUGCAGAACACAAACAUGUAUUUUAGCUGUACUACAACUGUGAAAUAACUAAUCCUACUGAAUAUGUGCAGGUUUAUGGAAGGCAGUUUCAGAAAUCAGAAGUUUUGAAACUGGUGUAACAAAAAUAGGUUCCUAAGGCAGAAGAUCUCAGCCUCUGAGGACAAACUGCAGAAGAUCAUCGAAUUGAGGGGCACAAUUUUUCCUUGUACUUAGUACUUUCAAAAUAAUCCAAUUACACUUCCAUGAUAUUUUAACUCUUCAGACAUGUUAUCUGACUACCUGGGUUAUAUACUUCUUGUCAUGUUUAGACUUAGCAACAUAUUGGUGAUAGGUAUGGUAUUAUUAUCACAACUUUUCAGUUUCUGUAAUCCGUGACAUUAUUCAUUUCUCAUUGUGAAUUAGGAUUCAUGCAAGGAUUUGCCUCAUAAUAUAUUUACUAAUUCUUAUUUA